GGGCCCGUAGCUCAACGGCAGAGCCAUCGGCUCAUAACCGAUAGGUUCCUGGUUCGAAUCCAGGCGGGCCCA
rnacentral:tRNA from 1 species